AGACCCGAAACCCGGUGAUCUAGCCAUGGGCAGGUUGAAGGUUGGGUAACACUAACUGGAGGACCGAACCGACUAAUGUUGAAAAAUUAGCGGAUGACCUGUGGCUGGGGGUGAAAGGCCAAUCAAACCGGGAGAUAGCUGGUUCUCCCCGAAAGCUAUUUAGGUAGCGCCUCGUGAAUUCAUCUCCGGGGGUAGAGCACUGUUUCGGCCAGGGGGCCAUCCCGGCUUACCAACCCGAUGCAAACUGCGAAUACCGGAGAAUGUUAUCACGGGAGACACACGGCGGGUGCUAACGUCCGUCGUGAAGAGGGAAACAACCCAGACCGCCAGCUAAGGUCCCAAAGUCAUGGUUAAGUGGGAAACGAUGUGGGAAGGCCCAGACAGCCAGGAUGUUGGCUUAGAAGCAGCCAUCAUUUAAAGAAAGCGUAAUAGCUCACUGGUCGAGUCGGCCUGCGCGGAAGAUGUAACGGGGCUAAACCAUGCACCGAAGCUGCGGCAGCGAACGUAUCACUUAAAGCGAUUCAGCGGAUGACGAUUGACGGAGCGAAGCGACGUCAAAGCGUUUUACAACGUCGAGUCGGUUUAAGGAUACGUUCGUUGGGUAGGGGAGCGUUCUGUAAGCCUGCGAAGGUGGCCUGUGAGGGUUGCUGGAGGUAUCAGAAGUGCGAAUGCUGACAUAAGUAACGAUAAUGCGGGUGAAAAACCCGCACGCCGGAAGACCAAGGGUUCCUGUCCAACGUUAAUCGGGGCAGGGUGAGUCGACCCCUAAGGCGAGGCCGAAAGGCGUAGUCGAUGGGAAACAGGUUAAUAUUCCUGUACCUGGUGUUACUGCGAAGGGGGGACGGAGAAGGCUAUGUUGGCCGGGCGACGGUUGUCCCGGUUUAAGCGUGUAGGCUGGUUUUCCAGGCAAAUCCGGAAAAUCAAGGCUGAGGCGUGACGACGAGGCACUACGGUGCUGAAGCAACAAAUGCCCUGCUUCCAGGAAAAGCCUCUAAGCCUCAGGUAACAUCAGAUCGUACCCGAAACCGACACAGGUGGUCAGGUAGAGAAUACCAAGGCGCUUGAGAGAACCCGGGUGAAGGAACUAGGCAAAAUGGUGCCGUAACUUCGGGAGAAGGCACGCUGACACGUAGGUGAAGCGGUUUACCCGUGGAGCUGAAGUCAGUCGAAGAUACCAGCUGGCUGCAACUGUUUAUUAAAAACACAGCACUGUGCAAACACGAAAGUGGACGUAUACGGUGUGACGCCUGCCCGGUGCCGGAAGGUUAAUUGAUGGGGUCAGCGCAAGCGAAGCUCCUGAUCGAAGCCCCGGUAAACGGCGGCCGUAACUAUAACGGUCCUAAGGUAGCGAAAUUCCUUGUCGGGUAAGUUCCGACCUGCACGAAUGGCGUAAUGAUGGCCAGGCUGUCUCCACCCGGGACUCAGUGAAAUUGAACUCGCUGUGAAGAUGCAGUGUACCCGCGGCAAGACGGAAAGACCCCGUGAACCUUUACUAUAGCUUGACACUGAACACUGGUCCUUGAUGUGCAGGAUAGGUGGGAGGCUUUGAAGUGUGGACGCCAGUCUGCAUGGAGCCGUCCUUGAAAUACCACCCUUUAAUGGCUGGUGUUCUAACGUAGACCCGUGAACCGGGUUGCGGACAGUGUCUGGUGGGUAGUUUGACUGGGGCGGUCUCCUCCUAAAGCGUAACGGAGGAGCACGAAGGUUGGCUAAUCCUGGUCGGACAUCAGGAGGUUAGUGCAAUGGCAUAAGCCAGCUUGACUGCGAGCGUGACGGCGCGAGCAGGUGCGAAAGCAGGUCAUAGUGAUCCGGUGGUUCUGAAUGGAAGGGCCAUCGCUCAACGGAUAAAAGGUACUCCGGGGAUAACAGGCUGAUACCGCCCAAGAGUUCAUAUCGACGGCGGUGUUUGGCACCUCGAUGUCGGCUCAUCACAUCCUGGGGCUGAAGUAGGUCCCAAGGGUAUGGCUGUUCGCCAUUUAAAGUGGUACGCGAGCUGGGUUUAGAACGUCGUGAGACAGUUCGGUCC
rnacentral:rRNA from 1 species